GACGAACGCUGGCGGCGUGCUUAACACAUGCAAGUCGAACGGAAAGGCCCUGCUUUUGUGGGGUGCUCGAGUGGCGAACGAGUGAGUAACACGUGAGUAACCUGCCCUUGACUUUGGGAUAACUUCAGGAAACUGGGGCUAAUACCGGAUAGGAGCUCCUGCUGCAUGGUGGGGGUUGGAAAGUUUCGGCGGUUGGGGAUGGACUCGCGGCUUAUCAGCUUGUUGGUGGGGUAGUGGCUUACCAAGGCUUUGACGGGUAGCCGGCCUGAGAGGGUGACCGGCCACAUUGGGACUGAGAUACGGCCCAGACUCCUACGGGAGGCAGCAGUGGGGAAGAGUGCACAAUGGGCGGAAGCCUGAUGCAGCAACGCCGCGUGCGGGAUGACGGCCUGCGGGUUGUAAACCGCUUUCGCCUGUGACGAAGCGUGAGUGACGGUAAUGGGUAAAGAAGCACCGGCUAACUACGUG
rnacentral:rRNA from 1 species